UUAGCCAGGCCAGUCGACGACUCGGACUAUGGCGAGAAGUGGCAAACUGCUCAGUAACACGUAGCUAACCUACCCUCAGGACGGAGACAACCCCGGGAAACUGGGGUUAAUCCCCGAUAGGCGUGGAUUCCUGGAAUGGUGUCACGCCGAAACGUUAACACACCAUGUUUGUGUACACGCCUGAGGAUGGGGCUGCGGCCGAUCAGGCAGUUGGUGAGGUAACGGCUCACCAAACCUUUGACCGGUACGGGCCGUGAGAGCGGUAGCCCGGAGAUGGACACUGAGACAAGGGUCCAGGACCUACGGGUCGCAGCCGGUACGAAACCUCCACAAUGCACGCAAGUGCGAUGGGGUUACCUCGAGUGCCGCCUGAAGAAGGCGGCUUUUCCAUUGUGUAAUGAGCCGUGGGAAUAAGGGGGGGGCAAGACUGGUGUCAGCCGCCGCGGUAACACCAGCCCCCCGAGUGGUGGGGAUGUUUAUUUGGCCUAAAACGUCCGUAGCCAGCUAGGUAAAUCUCUCGUUAAAUCCAGCGUCCUAAGCGUUGGGCUGCGAGAGAGACUGCCAAGCUAGAGGGUGGGAGAGGUCAGCGGUAUUUCUGGGGUAGGGGCGAAAUCCAUUGAUCCCAGGAGGACCACCAGUGGCGAAGGCUGCUGACUAGAACACGCCUGACGGUGAGGGACGAAAGCUGGGGUAGCGAAUCGGAUUAGAUACUCGAGUAGUCUCUAGCCGUAAACGAUG
rnacentral:rRNA from 1 species